rnacentral:rRNA from 1 species
UACGGAGGGGGGCUAGCGUUGUUCGGAAUUACUGGGCGUAAAGCGCGCGUAGGCGGACCUGCAAGUCGGGGGUGAAAGCCCGAGGCUCAACCUCGGAACUGCCUUCGAUACUGCGGGUCUCGAGUCCGGGAGAGGUGAGUGGAAUUCCUAGUGUAGAGGUGAAAUUCGUAGAUAUUAGGAAGAACACCAGUGGCGAAGGCGGCGACCUGGUCCAUUACUGACGCUGAGGCGCGACAGCGUGGGGGAGCAAACAGG